CUAUAGUUCAGGUACUUGUCGACUGGAUUGGUCUAUAGUUCAGGUACUUGUCGACUGGGUUGGUCUAUAGUUCAGGUACUUGUCGACUGGGUUGGUCUAUAGUUCAGGUACUUGUCGACUGGAUUGGUCUAUAGUUCAGGUACUUGUCGACUGGGUUGGUCUAUAGUUCAGGUACUUGUCGACUGGAUUGGUCUAUAGUUCAGGUACUUGUCGACUGGAUUGGUCUAUAGUUCAGGUACUUGUCGACUGGGUUGGUCUAUAGUUCAGGUACUUGUCGACUGGAUUGGUCUAUAGUUCAGGUACUUGUCGACUGGGUUGGUCUAUAGUUCAGGUACUUGUCGACUGGAUUGGUCUAUAGUUCAGGUACUUGUCG